rnacentral:rRNA from 1 species
GUAGGUGGCAAGCGUUGUCCGGAAUUAUUGGGCGUAAAGCGCGCGCAGGCGGUUCUUUAAGUCUGAUGUGAAAGCCCACGGCUCAACCGUGGAGGGUCAUUGGAAACUGGAGAACUUGAGUACAGAAGAGGAAAGCGGAAUUCCACGUGUAGCGGUGAAAUGCGUAGAGAUGUGGAGGAACACCAGUGGCGAAGGCGGCUUUCUGGUCUGUAACUGACGCUGAGGCGCGAAAGCGUGGGGAGCAAACAGGGGGUUAGAUACCCUGGUAGUCCACGCCGUAAACGAUGAGUGCUAAGUGUUAGGGGGUUUCCCGCCCCUUAGUGCUGCAGCUAACGCAUUAAGCACUCCGCCUGGGGAUACGGCCGCAAGGCUG